ensembl:snoRNA
UGGGCCAAUGAUUCCCACUGGUGGCAUAUGAGUCAUAAGCUAUGAGUAAUAUGUGUGGGGCUCAC